UACGAAGGGGGCUAGCGUUGCUCGGAAUCACUGGGCGUAAAGGGUGCGUAGGCGGCCCCGUAAGUCAGUGCUGAAAUAUCCCGGCUUAACCGGGAGGGUGGCAUUGAUACUGCGAGGCUUGAGUAGAGUUGAGGUUGGCGGAAUUGACGGUGUAGCGGUGAAAUGCUUAGAUAUCGUCAAGAACACCGAUAGUGUAGACAGCUAACUAAGCUCAAACUGACGCUGAGGCACGAAAGUGUGGGGAUCAAGCAGG
rnacentral:rRNA from 1 species